rnacentral:rRNA from 1 species
UACGUAGGGGGCAAGCGUUGUCCGGAAUCAUUGGGCGUAAAGAGCGUGUAGGCGGCCCGGUAAGUCCGCUGUGAAAGUCGGGGGCUCAACCCUCGAAUGCCGGUGGAUACUGUCGGGCUAGAGUGCGGAAGAGGCGAGUGGAAUUCCUGGUGUAGCGGUGAAAUGCGCAGAUAUCAGGAGGAACACCAAUUGCGGAGGCAGCUCGCUGGGACGUAACUGACGCUGAGACGCGAAAGCGUGGGGAGCAAACAGG